UCUGAAGGAAUACCGGUGGCGAAGGCGGCCCCCUGGACAGAUACUGACACUCAGAUGCGAAAGCGUGGGGAGCAAACAGGAUUAGAUACCCUGGUAGUCCACGCCGUAAACGAUGUCUACUUGGAGGUUGUGGCCUUGAGCCGUGGCUUUCGGAGCUAACGCGUUAAGUAGACCGCCUGGGGAGUACGGUCGCAAGAUUAAAACUCAAAUGAAUUGACGGGGGCCCGCACAAGCGGUGGAGCAUGUGGUUUAAUUCGAUGCAACGCGAAGAACCUUACCUACUCUUGACAUCCAGAGAACUUUCCAGAGAUGGAUUGGUGCCUUCGGGAACUCUGAGACAGGUGCUGCAUGGCUGUCGUCAGCUCGUGUUGUGAAAUGUUGGGUUAAGUCCCGCAACGAGCGCAACCCUUAUCCUUGUUUG
rnacentral:rRNA from 1 species